rfam:Triticum aestivum genome assembly, contig: Triticum_aestivum_CS42_TGACv1_scaffold_328501_4BS
CAAAUACUCCCUCCGUCCGGAAAUACUUGUCAUCAAAAUGGAUAAAAGGAAAUGUAUCUAGACAUAUUUUAGUUUCAGAGACAUCUAUUUUUAUCCAUUUUGACGACAAGUAUGUUCGGACGGAGGGAGUAGAAA